GGAAGCACCGAGUAAAAGCAGGUUGGCACUCUUGGGUGUGGAUCUUGAGUUAAUGUGGCAAUUUAUGUAUCCAACUGUUUAUGGACUUGCUGUCUGUAAUUAUUGGAUUAGAUGACAGACUCAAGAGACUUUGAAAGUGGAUUGAUUGUUACAGCAUGCUGCUCAAGAGCCGCAUUCCUCAAAGCACUUCAGCUUGUGUAGCAACUUGACAAAUGCAUAGCAGAAAGAUGUACACUUAAUUUUUCUCAAUCCAGACAAGCAUUAUCCUCUUCCACUUGACUCUGGCUCUCCAGUUGAGCUGAGGAGGCCCCUUUUACGUCAGACCUGGGAGAGCUUCUGGUGCCAGGAUUUUGUCCAAAGAAAACACUUCCGAGUCAGACGGAAGCCUCUUAAAGUAUGGAUGGUCAUUCCUGGCUGCACCAAUGGAACCCAGCAAGGCUGUGAAAUGGGACUACAGUUCCCAGUAUGCCUUGAGGGUGUGGGAAAGGCUGCACUGGUCCAGGAGUGCUGGCAUCAGUAUAUCAGACCAGAUGAUUGACAGCCCUACCACCUCUGAUGUCAUUUCCAGUGAUCAGCCCCCUGGACCCUCCUUUUCCUUCCUGGCCUGUUCUUAACCUGUAGUGUUGCCAUCUUUCGAAGACAUUUUAUUUCCCUUCCUAAUGCAUUUAUACAUCAUCUUUAUUUUCAGUUAUAUAGGGUUUGCCUGCAGUUGCCCCAAAUGUUUAUACUUACCUGUGUUUUUCGCUACAUAUAUUAUAUUAUGUUGCUUUUUGUUUCCAUUAGUAUACAGUAUCAGUCCGUAAUUUACCAUUUCUUUAAAUGUGGUAGGAGAAAUCGUUUGUUUCUAGAGAUUUCUAGCCAAAGUAGGGGUUAACCUCCUAGAUACGCACUGAUAGGUUUCCUCUACCAAAACAAUAAUAUCAUAGAAGUUAUAAAAAAAUGUUACCAAACCCUGGCACUUUACAACUUCAAAACCACUGAACCCCAGCUAUGUUUAAGCACCACAAAAGCUGACCAGCUCUACCCUGUGACCUUUGACACACCUUCAACCCUUCAAAUUGCUACCACUUCUGACAACCUCUGGAGAUGACAAUGCUGAGAUGAGAACUGAGAGUGAGAGCACAUUGCACCAGCAUUUCAUCUCAGUCGAUUUUCAGUCAAGUUCUUCCCUGACGG